rnacentral:rRNA from 1 species
UACAGAGGUGGCAAGCGUUGUUCGGAAUUACUGAGCGUAAAGGGCGCGUAGGCGGUUCGUUAAGUCCUGUGUGAAAGCCCCCGGCUCAACUGGGGAGGGUCACUCGAUACUGAUCGACUUGAAGGCAGGAGAGGGAAGCGGAAUUCCCGGUGUAGUGGUGAAAUGCGUAGAUAUCGGGAGGAACACCAGUGGCGAAGGCGGCUUCCUGGCCUGUUCUUGACGCUGAGGCGCAAAAGCUAGGGGAGCAAACGGG